rnacentral:rRNA from 1 species
AACGAACGCUGGCGGCAUGCCUAACACAUGCAAGUCGAACGAGACCUUCGUGUCUAGUGGCGCACGUGUGCGUAACGCGUGGUAACCUGCCCUUAGGUUCGGAAUAACUCCCCGAAAGGGGUCCUAAUACCGCUUAAUCUCUUCGGGCCAAAGAUUUAUCGCCUUUGGAUGGGCCCGCGUUGGAUUAGCUAGUUGGUAGGGUAAAAGCCUAUCAAGGCGACGAUCCAUAGCUGGUCUGAGAGGAUGAUCAUCCACACUGGAACUGAGACACGGACCAGAAUCCUACGGGAGGCAGCAGUGGGGAAUAUUGUACAAUGGGCGAAAGCGUGAUCCAGCAAUGCGGCGUGAGUGAUGAAGGCCUUAGGGUUGUAAAGCUCUUUUACACGGGAUGAUAAUGACAGUACCGGGAGAAUAAGCACCGGCUAACUCCGUG